AUGUUUGUAGAAGGAGCUAUGCCAAGGCUCCAAACCCUCGAGGUUACAUUUCAGGUUCGCGAGGCGAAGGAUGAAUACAAUAAUUUUGAGGUCGGCUUGGAGAACCUCCAUUCUAUUAAGCUGGUCACAAUUCGAAUGCAUUGUUCUGGUUCCAGUCUCGUUGAGGUGGAGGAAGCUGAUGCUGCUAUGAGGAAGACAUCCCAUGUGAAUCCAAAACAUCCGAGGGUUGACGUGAUUACAUAUUAUGAAGAUGAAAUGAUAGAGGACGAGGAGAAAUCUCAACUCGAUGAGGAAGCAUUCAAAGAACAAGAGGUAUUAAUUAUUGUCUUCUUUAGUCGCACUAAAAUAAAAAGUACACGAUCCAAGUUAGUGUUCCAUUUUGUUACUUAUUCCUAA
rnacentral:rRNA from 1 species